rnacentral:rRNA from 1 species
GCAGUCGAACGAGGAGCCCCUGGAGCUUGCUUUGGGGUCUCCUAGUGGCGCAUGGGUGAAGUAACACGUGAGUGACAUGCCCUGCAGUGGGGAAUAGCCCGCCGAAAGGCGGAUUAAUACCCCAUGGAUCCCUUCGGGGUAAAGGUGCCUUCGGGUGCCGCUGCAGGAUUGGCUCGCGUCCUAUCAGCUAGUUGGCGGGAUAACGGCCCACCAAGGCGACGACGGGUACCUGGUCUGAGAGGACGAUCAGGCACACUGGAACUGAGACACGGUCCAGACACCUACGGGUGGCAGCAGUCGAGAAUAAUUCACAAUGGACGAAAGUCUGAUGGUGCAACGCCGCGUGGAGGAUGAAGGUCCUCGGAUUGUAAACUCCUGUCAUCGGGGAGUAAGACCUGGCCGUUAAUAGCGGACAGGGUUGAUAGUACCCGAAGAGGAAGGGACGGCUAACUUCGUGCCAGCAGCCGCGGUAAUACGAAGGUCCCGAGCGUUGUUCGGAAUCACUGGGCGUAAAGGGAGCGUAGGCGGUUCGGUAAGUCAGGUGUGAAAUCCCGGGGCUCAACCCCGGAACUGCACCCGAUACUGCCGGACUUGAGUAGUGGAGGGGUAACCGGAAUUCUCGGUGUAGCAGUGAAAUGCGUGGAUAUCGAGAGGAACACUCGUGGCGAAGGCGGGUUACUGGACACUUACUGACGCUGAAGGCUCGAAGGCCAGGG